rnacentral:rRNA from 1 species
AUUGAACGCUGGCGGCAUGCCUUACACAUGCAAGUCGAACGGUAACGGGCCUUCGGGUGCCGACGAGUGGCGAACGGGUGAGUAAUACAUCGGAACAUGCCCAGUAGUGGGGGAUAACGUAGCGAAAGUUACGCUAAUACCGCAUACGACCUAAGGGUGAAAGCGGGGGAUCUUCGGACCUCGCGCUAUUGGAGUGGCCGAUGGCUGAUUAGCUAGUUGGUGAGGUAAAGGCUCACCAAGGCGACGAUCAGUAGCUGGUCUGAGAGGACGAUCAGCCACACUGGGACUGAGACACGGCCCAGACUCCUACGGGAGGCAGCAGUGGGGAAUUUUGGACAAUGGACGCAAGUCUGAUCCAGCAAUGCCGCGUGAGUGAAGAAGGCCUUCGGGUUGUAAAGCUCUUUUAUCGGGAAAGAAUGCUGCAGGGCUAAUACUCCUGCGGAGUGACGGUACCCGAGGAAUAAGCACCGGCUAACUACGUGCCAGCCGCCGCGGUAACAC